ACAGACGUAGAGGAGUUUGGCUUAUCUCGCUUCCCUUGGAAGGAAGAGCACGCUGGUUCAAAUCCAGCCGUUUGUACCA
rnacentral:tRNA from 1 species